rnacentral:tRNA from 1 species
GGGAUUGUGGCAUAGUGGUAGAGUGCUUGCUUAGCAUGCAUGAAGCCCUGGGUUUGAUUCCUCAAUUCCC